rnacentral:rRNA from 1 species
AGAGUUUGAUCCUGGCUCAGGAUGAACGCUAGCUACAGGCUUAACACAUGCAAGUCGAGGGGCAGCAUGAACUUAGCUUGCUAAGUUUGAUGGCGACCGGCGCACGGGUGAGUAACACGUAUCCAACCUGCCGAUGACUCGGGGAUAGCCUUUCGAAAGAAAGAUUAAUACCCGAUGGCAUAGUUCUUCCGCAUGGUAGAACUAUUAAAGAAUUUCGGUCAUCGAUGGGGAUGCGUUCCAUUAGGUUGUUGGCGGGGUAACGGCCCACCAAGCCUUCGAUGGAUAGGGGUUCUGAGAGGAAGGUCCCCCACAUUGGAACUGAGACACGGUCCAAACUCCUACGGGAGGCAGCAGUGAGGAAUAUUGGUCAAUGGACGAGAGUCUGAACCAGCCAAGUAGCGUGAAGGAUGACUGCCCUAUGGGUUGUAAACUUCUUUUAUACGGGAAUAAAGUGAGGCACGCGUGCCUUUUUGUAUGUACCGUAUGAAUAAGGAUCGGCUAACUCCGUGCCAGCAGCCGCGGUAAUACGGAGGAUCCGAGCGUUAUCCGGAUUUAUUGGGUUUAAAGGGAGCGUAGGCGGACGCUUAAGUCAGUUGUGAAAGUUUGCGGCUCAACCGUAAAAUUGCAGUUGAUACUGGGUGUCUUGAGUACAGUAGAGGCAGGCGGAAUUCGUGGUGUAGCGGUGAAAUGCUUAGAUAUCACGAAGAACUCCGAUUGCGAAGGCAGCCUGCUGGACUGUAACUGACGCUGAUGCUCGAAAGUGUGGGUAUCAAACAGGAUUAGAUACCCUGGUAGUCCACACAGUAAACGAUGAAUACUCGCUGUUUGCGAUAUACAGUAAGCGGCCAAGCGAAAGCGUUAAGUAUUCCACCUGGGGAGUACGCCGGCAACGGUGAAACUCAAAGGAAUUGACGGGGGCCCGCACAAGCGGAGGAACAUGUGGUUUAA